GAUGAACGCUGGCGGCGUGCUUAACACAUGCAAGUCGAACGAUUAAGACGGCUUCGGCCGUGUAUAGAGUGGCGAACGGGUGAGUAACACGUGACCAACCUGCCCCGCGCUCCGGGACAACCGCUGGAAACGGCGGCUAAUACCGGAUGCUCCGGGGAGGCCCCAUGGCCUCCCCGGGAAAGCCCUGACGGCGCGGGAUGGGGUCGCGGCCCAUUAGGUAGACGGCGGGGUAACGGCCCACCGUGCCCGCGAUGGGUAGCCGGACUGAGAGGUCGACCGGCCACAUUGGGACUGAGAUACGGCCCAGACUCCUACGGGAGGCAGCAGUGGGGAAUUUUGCGCAAUGGGGGAAACCCUGACGCAGCAACGCCGCGUGCGGGACGAAGGCCUUCGGGUUGUAAACCGCUUUCAGCAGGGAAGACAUAGACGGUAC
rnacentral:rRNA from 1 species